rnacentral:antisense_RNA from 1 species
GGCAGCACAACUCCCGGCUCAGAGAGUUCUCCACCGCUCCUCCCAGGCUCACGAGGCUCACGGGCUACCCAGUGCCAGCGGCCCGGGAGGCUGGACCACAGACCACGAAGCUGCACCGUGUGGGGCCCACUUUUUACACAAGUGGGUGGUGGUGGAUCCAGGCGAAGACAGGAGUGAGGAGUGGCGGAGACGCGUGCACGCUGGGUCUGUGCGCUUCUGCUGCUGCUUUUUUUUUUUUUUGAGAUGGAGUCUCGCUCUGUCACCCAGGCUGGAGUGCAGUGGCAUGAUCUCGGCUGACUACAACCUCCAUCUCCCGGGUUUAAGCGACUUUCCUGUCUCAGCCUCCCAAGUAGCUGAGAUGACAGGCGCCCGCCACCACACCCGGCUAAUUUUUGUAUUUUUAGUAGAGAUAGGGUUUCACCUUGUUAGUCAGGCUGGUCUUGAACUCCUGACCUCAUGAUCCACCUCCCUCAGCCUCCCAAAGUGCUGGAUUACAGGCGUGAGCCACUGCGCCCAGCCGGCUGUUGCUUCUUAACAUCUUUAUUACUUUUGUAAUCGUGGGUAUGAGUUGAUUUUCUGGUUAGAAAUUUCAGUAGAGCUAAUUUCAUUCAAAUGUGUGAGAUGUGGUCAAGUUUUGACAAUAAAUACAAAUUUUGACAAAGCAG